rnacentral:rRNA from 1 species
GUUUGAUCCUGGCUCAGGACGAACGCUGGCGGCGUGCCUAAUACAUGCAAGUCGAGCGGACAGAAGGGAGCUUGCUCCCGGAUGUUAGCGGCGGACGGGUGAGUAACACGUGGGUAACCUGCCUGUAAGACUGGGAUAACUCCGGGAAACCGGAGCUAAUACCGGAUAGUUCCUUGAACCGCAUGGUUCAAGGAUGAAAGACGGUUUCGGCUGUCACUUACAGAUGGACCCGCGGCGCAUUAGCUAGUUGGUGGGGUAAUGGCUCACCAAGGCGACGAUGCGUAGCCGACCUGAGAGGGUGAUCGGCCACACUGGGACUGAGACACGGCCCAGACUCCUACGGGAGGCAGCAGUAGGGAAUCUUCCGCAAUGGACGAAAGUCUGACGGAGCAACGCCGCGUGAGUGAUGAAGGUUUUCGGAUCGUAAAGCUCUGUUGUUAGGGAAGAACAAGUGCGAGAGUAACUGCUCGCACCUUGACGGUACCUAACCAGAAAGCCACGGCUAACUACGUGCCAGCAGCCGCGGUAAUACGUAGGUGGCAAGCGUUGUCCGGAAUUAUUGGGCGUAAAGGGCUCGCAGGCGGUUUCUUAAGUCUGAUGUGAAAGCCCCCGGCUCAACCGGGGAGGGUCAUUGGAAACUGGGAAACUUGAGUGCAGAAGAGGAGAGUGGAAUUCCACGUGUAGCGGUGAAAUGCGUAGAGAUGUGGAGGAACACCAGUGGCGAAGGCGACUCUCUGGUCUGUAACUGACGCUGAGGAGCGAAAGCGUGGGGAGCGAACAGGAUUAGAUACCCUGGUAGUCCACGCCGUAAACGAUGAGUGCUAAGUGUUAGGGGGUUUCCGCCCCUUAGUGCUGCAGCUAACGCAUUAAGCACUCCGCC